AACUAUUCUAUCAUACUGUGUACAGCCAACAACUCCGCUCUCACGACCACCAUUGUCGGGGUCAUUAAGAAUACAACUGUAACAUACAUUGGAAUGUUUUUGGGAGGAGAUUACUUGUUCAGCUGGACAAACUUUAUUGGUAUGAAUAUUAGUGUGUUUGGUAGCAUCCUGUACUCAUAUGUGACGUUUAUCAAGA